GAUGUAGGGCGCGAGCGUUGUCCGGAUUUACUGGGCGUAAAGAGCGCGCAGGCGGUCGUUCAAGUCGCGUGUGAAAGCCCCCGGCUCAACUGGGGAGGGUCACGCGAUACUGAUCGACUCGAAGGCAGGAGAGGGUAGUGGAAUUCCCGGUGUAGUGGUGAAAUGCGUAGAUAUCGGGAGGAACACCAGUGGCGAAGGCGACUACCUGGCCUGUUCUUGACGCUGAGGCGCGAAAGCUAGGGGAGCAAACGGG
rnacentral:rRNA from 1 species